UUUUUAUUUUCUCCUUUCUCCUUCUUCUCCCUCUCUAACCCUAGCCGCCUCUCCCUUUUCCUUCAUUCCCGCUCCUCCUCUUCCUUUUCCCUGCCAUCUCCACUCAUGCUCCUCACAUUCUUUUGCCUCCCCCACUCUCCUGUCGCCUUGUUCCCCACUCCCUCUCUUUCAUACGCUCCUCUCUCUCUUCUCUUGAACCAAACGAAACCAUAUAAAUCUGUGGCGAAUUGAGGCUUAAAAAAAAAAGAUCGGGGAAAAUGAAAAAUCUCCCUACAAAAAAAAAACGUAAAGCUUGCACCUUGAAGAACAAGAACAACCGACAAUUACUCUAUUUUUUAGUUCUUCAUUUUAAUUACUUUAAUCGGGUUCGUUCGAGUUCGAGCAUAGAUUCACGACCACCGUACCCUGUUCACUGUACCUACAACAGCGCAAUGGAGUCUUCAUAAAGACUCAUUAUCCGAACAGUCUCAUUUUGAGACUAUACGGCAUUUGAACUUUGCACGUGUCUUGCUAUUCGGCUCUCAUUCCCUCGACCUUCAUCCGACCAGAGAACAAAGAGAGUGGUUAGCCAAACGGCAGACCAUUGAAAACUUUACUCUUAUGGUAGUCAAAUGUAGCUUUAGUCAUCUCAUUUUUAUUUUUUGAUGCUUGUUAUGUGUCUGGUGUGACUGACAUUUUAUCUAGCUGAGUGAUUGUGAUAAUUAUUUAACUGCUUAUUCUAA